GAAGAGAUCUUCGUGAGGCAAUACCGAUGUUAUUACAACGCAAUUCUGGGUAGAAUAGGAACAGCCUUUGAUCAAUUUCGCACAACAAUGCUGAUCUAUAAUAACAAUGCCGAUCUAUAAUAACAAUGUGUUCCUGCUUGUACAGUCUAGUGAGCAUAGCAUUGAAGCAGUCUAGUUCUGGUAAACGAAACAACUCCCAGCGCAGCUUACGAUCCAGAGCUGCAGAAGCUCUACUGUACACGUACAGCCAGUGUGGUAUCUCCUCGUUCAAAUAGGGAUUAGCUGGCACGAGCACGCUGUGAGAAUGAAAGUGCGUGUGUCGAGGUGGUGACACGACGCGCACCGCUUGUAUCUCGUGAGGAUAACACGGAUGUAAAUCGCUCACUUGACGUAAUAAAUUCCAUAUUCAGGCGACUCUAUUCUUUCCCAGCCUGUGGGUAGGCCCUCCUUUUCGAGCGGAUGCGACCAAUGCGUGGUUUUGGUGUUGUGAUCGAUGUAAUAUUUCCGGCCACGAAGUGUGAAGUCAAUGGACCAUCCUGGUGGUAAGGGCAGUUCUUCCUGCUGCUGCUCGCUUCGAGAACUCGAUCUCUCUGAAUGGCAUCUGCUGUAACUUGAAUCCAGAAAUCGAGGUUCAUUAAAAUAGGGAUACUUUCGGAUAUAAAUUGACAUCUCAAAUGAUGGAUGAAUUGAUACACUUUACGACAUUAAUAUAAUAUUUAAAAGAAUCUUACCCAGCAUUUUGAUGAUACAUAGAGUGAUUGUAAUCUUCAUAACCGGUUGAAUCGAUGUCGAAAGGCAUAUAAGGCAUUUGUGGUGUCUGAACUCUGUCCAAUUGAUAUUCAGAUCCAGCGUACUGAUUCAUAUAAGUGUGGGACAUUGCAGGCGACAAUUCAGGAUGGUACAUAGGUGUCGCAGUUCUCGAAAACAUGCUGUCAUUUAUUCCCGUAUUAACAGAAAGACUGGCAAAUCUACAGUGAGGAUAAGGAUGAAAACAUCGAGGGAAAAAAUAUGUUAAAAUGUUCAAACCGAUAAAAUAUUUGUUUCAUUUUUUAAUAUUGGUUUUAUUUUAUAAAAUAUUUUUACUCAAAUCGUAAUAGUAUAUAUAGUGCAUACUUGUAUGAAAGAAUUGUUUCACAAAAUAGAAUUAAACAUAAUAAAUAAUCUAAAUAAUUAUUAA